GACGAACGCUGGCGGCGUGCUUAACACAUGCAAGUCGAACGGAAGGGCCCUGCUUUUGUGGGGUGCUCGAUUGGCGAACGGGUGAGUAAAACGUGAGUAACCUGCACUUGACUUUGGGAUAACUUCAGGAAACUGGGGCUAAUACAGGGUAGAAGCUCCUGCUGCAUGGGGGGGGUUGGAGAGUUUCGGCGGUUGGGGAUGGACUCGCGGCUUAUCAGCUGGAUGGGGGGGUAGUGAAUUAACAGGGCUGUGACGGUUAGCCGGCCUGGGAGGGUGACCGGCGACAUGGGGCCUGCGGUACGGCCCAGACGCCAACGGGAGGCAGCAGGGGGGAGUAUGGCAGAAUGGGCGGACGCCUGAGGCGGCAACGCCGCGUGCGUGAUGACGUCUUAUGGGUGGUAAACCGCUUUGGCCUGUGACGAAGCGUGAGUGACGGUAACGGGUAAAGAAGCACCGGCUAACUACGUG
rnacentral:rRNA from 1 species